rnacentral:rRNA from 1 species
UUAAGUUAGAAAGGGCGCACGGUGGAUGCCUUGACACUAGGAGUCGAUGAAGGACGGGACUAACGCCGAUAUGCUUCGGGGAGCUGUAAGUAAGCUUUGAUCCGAAGAUUUCCGAAUGGGGAAACCCACCAUACGUAAUGGUAUGGUAUCCUUAUCUGAAUACAUAGGGUAAGGAAGACAGACCCAGGGAACUGAAACAUCUAAGUACCUGGAGGAAGAGAAAGCAAAUGCGAUUUCCUGAGUAGCGGCGAGCGAAACGGAACAUAGCCCAAACCAAGAGGCUUGCCUCUUGGGGUUGUAGGACAUUCUAUACGGAGUUACAAAGGAACGAGGUAGACGAAGCGACCUGGAAAGGUCCGUCGUAGAGGGUAACAACCCCGUAGUCGAAACUUCGUUCUCUCUUGAAUGUAUCCUGAGUACGGCGGAACACGUGAAAUUCCGUCGGAAUCUGGGAGGACCAUCUCCCAAGGCUAAAUACUCCCUAGUGAUCGAUAGUGAACCAGUACCGUGAGGGAAAGGUGAAAAGCACCCCGGAAGGGGAGUGAAAGAGAUCCUGAAACCGUGUGCCUACAAAUAGUCAGAGCCCGUUAACGGGUGAUGGCGUGCCUUUUGUAGAAUGAACCGGCGAGUUACGAUCCCGUGCGAGGUUAAGCUGAAGAGGCGGAGCCGCAGCGAAAGCGAGUCUGAAUAGGGCGUUUAGUACGUGGUCGUAGACCCGAAACCAGGUGAUCUACCCAUGUCCAGGGUGAAGUUCAGGUAACACUGAAUGGAGGCCCGAACCCACGCACGUUGAAAAGUGCGGGGAUGAGGUGUGGGUAGCGGAGAAAUUCCAAUCGAACCUGGAGAUAGCUGGUUCUCCCCGAAAUAGCUUUAGGGCUAGCCUUAAGUGUAAGAGUCUUGGAGGUAGAGCACUGAUUGGACUAGGGGUCCUCAUCGGACUACCGAAUUCAGUCAAACUCCGAAUGCCAAUGACUUAUCCUUAGGAGUCAGACUGCGAGUGAUAAGAUCCGUAGUCAAAAGGGAAACAGCCCAGACCGCCAGCUAAGGUCCCAAAGUGUGUAUUAAGUGGAAAAGGAUGUGGAGUUGCUUAGACAACUAGGAUGUUGGCUUAGAAGCAGCCACCAUUUAAAGAGUGCGUAAUAGCUCACUAGUCGAGUGACUCUGCGCCGAAAAUGUACCGGGGCUAAAUACACCACCGAAGCUGCGGAUUGAUACCAAUGGUAUCAGUGGUAGGGGAGCGUUCUAAGGACAGUGAAGUCAGACCGGAAGGACUGGUGGAGUGCUUAGAAGUGAGAAUGCCGGUAUGAGUAGCGAAAGACGGGUGAGAAUCCCGUCCACCGAAUGCCUAAGGUUUCCUGAGGAAGGCUCGUCCGCUCAGGGUUAGUCAGGACCUAAGCCGAGGCCGACAGGCGUAGGCGAUGGACAACAGGUUGAUAUUCCUGUACCACCUCUUUAUCGUUUGAGCAAUGGAGGGACGCAGAAGGAUAGAAGAAGCGUGCGAUUGGUUGUGCACGUCCAAGCAGUUAGGCCGAUAAGUAGGCAAAUCCGCUUAUCGUGAAGGCUGAGCUGUGAUGGGGAAGCUCCUUAUGGAGCGAAGUCUUUGAUUCCCCGCUGCCAAGAAAAGCUUCUAGCGAGAUAAAAGGUGCCUGUACCGCAAACCGACACAGGUAGGCGAGGAGAGAAUCCUAAGGUGUGCGAGAGAACUCUGGUUAAGGAACUCGGCAAAAUGACCCCGUAACUUCGGGAGAAGGGGUGCUUUCUUAACGGAAAGCCGCAGUGAAUAGGCCCAAGCGACUGUUUAGCAAAAACACAGCUCUCUGCGAAGCCGUAAGGCGAAGUAUAGGGGGUGACACCUGCCCGGUGCUGGAAGGUUAAGGAGAGGGGUUAGCGUAAGCGAAGCUCUGAACUGAAGCCCCAGUAAACGGCGGCCGUAACUAUAACGGUCCUAAGGUAGCGAAAUUCCUUGUCGGGUAAGUUCCGACCCGCACGAAAGGUGUAACGAUUUGGGCACUGUCUCAACCAGAGACUCGGUGAAAUUAUAGUACCUGUGAAGAUGCAGGUUACCCGCGACAGGACGGAAAGACCCCGUGGAGCUUUACUGUAGCCUGAUAUUGAAUUUUGGUACAGUUUGUACAGGAUAGGCGGGAGCCUUUGAAACCGGAGCGCUAGCUUCGGUGGAGGCGCUGGUGGGAUACCGCCCUGACUGUAUUGAAAUUCUAACCUACGGGUCUUAUCGACCCGGGAGACAGUGUCAGGUGGGCAGUUUGACUGGGGCGGUCGCCUCCUAAAGUGUAACGGAGGCGCCCAAAGGUUCCCUCAGAAUGGUUGGAAAUCAUUCGUAGAGUGCAAAGGCAUAAGGGAGCUUGACUGCGAGACCUACAAGUCGAGCAGGGACGAAAGUCGGGCUUAGUGAUCCGGUGGUUCCGCAUGGAAGGGCCAUCGCUCAACGGAUAAAAGCUACCCCGGGGAUAACAGGCUUAUCUCCCCCAAGAGUCCACAUCGACGGGGAGGUUUGGCACCUCGAUGUCGGCUCAUCGCAUCCUGGGGCUGUAGUCGGUCCCAAGGGUUGGGCUGUUCGCCCAUUAAAGCGGUACGCGAGCUGGGUUCAGAACGUCGUGAGACAGUUCGGUCCCUAUCCGUCGUGGGCGUAGGAAAUUUGAGAGGAGCUGUCCUUAGUACGAGAGGACCGGGAUGGACGCACCGCUGGUGUACCAGUUGUUCUGCCAAGGGCAUAGCUGGGUAGCUAUGUGCGGAAGGGAUAAGUGCUGAAAGCAUCUAAGCAUGAAGCCCCCCUCAAGAUGAGAUUUCCCAUAGCGUAAGCUAGUAAGAUCCCUGAAAGAUGAUCAGGUUGAUAGGUUCGAGGUGGAAGCAUGGUGACAUGUGGAGCUGACGAAUACUAAUAGAUCGAGGACUUAACCAU